ACAGCAGCAGCCACGGUAAUACGGAGGGUGCAAGCGUUAUCCGGAUUUAUUGGGUUUAAAGGGUCCGUAUGCGGACUUAUAAGUCAGUGGUGAAAGCCUGUCGCUUAACGAUAGAACUGCCAUUGAUACUGUAAGUCUUGAGUAUAUUUGAGGUAGCUGGAAUAAGUAGUGUAGCGGUGAAAUGCAUAGAUAUUACUUAGAACACCAAUUGCGAAGGCAGGUUACCAAGAUAUAACUGACGCUGAGGGACGAAAGCGUGGGUAGCGAACAGGAUUAGAUACCCCCGUAGUCCCUGUCUCUUAUAA
rnacentral:rRNA from 1 species